rnacentral:rRNA from 1 species
GCUAACACUCCUACGGGAGGCAGCAGUGAGGAAUAUUGGACAAUGGGCGAAAGCCUGAUCCAGCCAUGCCGCGUGCAGGAAGACUGCCCUAUGGGUUGUAAACUGCUUUUGUACGGGAAGAAACCCACCUACGUGUAGGUGGCUGACGGUACCGUAAGAAUAAGCAUCGGCUAACUCCGUGCCAGCAGCCGCGGUAAUACGGAGGAUGCAAGCGUUAUCCGAAAUCAUUGGGUUUAAAGGGUCCGUAGGUGGAUUGGUAAGUCAGAGGUGAAAGCCUGCAGCUCAACUGUAGAACUGCCUUUGAUACUGCUAGUCUUGAAUUAUUGUGAAGUGGUUAGAAUAUGUAGUGUAGCGGUGAAAUGCAUAGAUAUUACAUAGAAUACCAAUUGCGAAGGCAGAUCACUAACAAUAUAUUGACACUGAUGGACGAAAGCGUGGGGAGCGAACGGGAUUAGAUACCCUGGUAG